rnacentral:rRNA from 1 species
GACGAACGCUGGCGGCGUGCUUAACACAUGCAAGUCGAACGAUGAAGAAAAGAAUCGAAGCUUCGGCAGAAAUUCAUUUCGGAUUAGUGGCAGACGGGUGAGUAACGCGUGAGCAACCUACCUCUUACAAAGGGAUAGCCUCGGGAAACCGGGAUUAAUACCAUAUAACAUUGCGACGAAGCAUUUCGAUGCAAUCAAAGCUACGGCGGUAAGAGAUGGGCUCGCGUCCCAUUAACCGGAUGGUGAGGUAACGGCUCACCAUAGUGACGAUGGGUAACCGGCCUGAGAGGGUGAACGGUCACACUGGAACUGAGACACGGUCCAGAGUCCUACGGGAGGCAGCAGUGGGGAAUAUUGCACAAUGGAGGGAACUCUGAUGCAGCGACGCCGCGUGAGUGAUGAAGGAAUUCGUUUCGUAAAACUCUGUUCUAUGGGAAGAAAAGGACUGUACCAUAGGAGAAAGCUCCGGCUAAAUACGUG